CAAAGAUUUAUCGGUAAAGGAUGGGGAUGCGUCCGAUUAGCUUGUUGGCGGGGUAACGGCCCACCAAGGCAUCGAUCGGUAGGGGUUCUGAGAGGAAGGUCCCCCACACUGGAACUGAGACACGGUCCAGACUCCUACGGGAGGCAGCAGUGAGGAAUAUUGGUCAAUGGCCGUAAGGCUGAACCAGCCAAGUAGCGUGAGGGAAGACUGCCCUAUGGGUUGUAAACCUCUUUUAUGCGGGGAUAAAGGUGUCCACGUGUGGAUGUUUGCAGGUACCGCAUGAAUAAGGACCGGCUAAUUCCGUGCCAGCAGCCGCGGUAAUACGGAAGGUCCGGGCGUUAUCCGGAUUUAUUGGGUUUAAAGGGAGCGUAGGCCGGUCUUUAAGCGUGCCGUGAAAUUUUGUGGCUCAACCAUGAGAGUGCGGCGCGAACUGGAGACCUUGAGUGCGCGGAAGGCAGGCGGAAUUCGUGGUGUAGCGGUGAAAUGCUUAGAUAUCACGAAGAACCCCGAUUGCGAAGGCAGCCUGCCGCAGCGUUACUGACGCUGAGGCUCGAAAGCGCGGGUAUCGAACAGGAUUAGAUACCCUGGUAGUCCGCGCGGUAAACGAUGGAUGCCCGCUGUCGGCGAUAUACAGUCG
rnacentral:rRNA from 1 species